rnacentral:rRNA from 1 species
UUUAAAGAGAGUUUGAUCCUGGCUCAGGACGAACGCUGGCGGCGUGCCUAAUACAUGCAAGUCGAACGAACGGAGGAAGAGCUUGCUCUUCCAAAGUUAGUGGCGGACGGGUGAGUAACACGUGGGCAACCUGCCUGUAAGUUGGGGAUAACUCCGGGAAACCGGGGCUAAUACCGAAUGAUAAAGUGUGGCGCAUGCCACGCUUUUGAAAGAUGGUUUCGGCUAUCGCUUACAGAUGGGCCCGCGGUGCAUUAGCUAGUUGGUAGGGUAAUGGCCUACCAAGGCAACGAUGCAUAGCCGACCUGAGAGGGUGAUCGGCCACACUGGGACUGAGACACGGCCCAGACUCCUACGGGAGGCAGCAGUAGGGAAUCUUCCGCAAUGGACGAAAGUCUGACGGAGCAACGCCGCGUGUAUGAAGAAGGUUUUCGGAUCGUAAAGUACUGUUGUUAGAGAAGAACAAGGAUAAGAGUAACUGCUUGUCCCUUGACGGUAUCUAACCAGAAAGCCACGGCUAACUACGUGCCAGCAGCCGCGGUAAUA